GGGUAGGGGGCUCUAGUUUAGUCGCUGCUAACGAUUUAUAGAGAACUGGUUAGUUCUCGGUCCCUU
rnacentral:tRNA from 1 species